AAUCAACGCUGGCGGCGUGCCUCAGACAUGCAAGUCGAACGAUUAAGACUCCCUUCGGGGAGUGCAUAAAGUGGCGCACGGGUGAGUAACACGUAAGUAAUAUACCUUCGAGUGGGGAAUAACAUCGGGAAACCGAUGCUAAUACCGCAUAAUGAAGCGGCAUCGACAGAUGACAGCUGUUAAAGGAGCAGUUAGCUUGAAGAGGGGCUUGCGGCAGAUUAGCUAGUUGGUAAGGUAAUGGCUUACCAAGGCUACGAUCUGUAGCCGGUCUAAGAGGACGGUCGGACACACUGACACUGAAUAACGGGUCAGACUCCUACGGGAGGCAGCAGUCGGGAAUUUUGGGCAAUGGGCGAAAGCCUGACCCAGCAACGCCGCGUGAAGGAUGAAGUUUUUCGGAAUGUAAACUUCGAAAGAAUGGGAAGAAUAAAUGACGGUACCAUUUAUAAGGUCCGGCUAACUACGUGCCAGCCGCCGCCGUAAUAC
rnacentral:rRNA from 1 species